rnacentral:rRNA from 1 species
AUUGAACGCUGGCGGCAUGCUUUACACAUGCAAGUCGGACGAGUGGCGUACGGGUGAGUAACGCAUCGGAACGUACCGAGUAAUUGGGUAUACCUGUCCGAACGGACAGCUAAUACUGCAUAUUAUUCGAGCGGCCGAUGUCUGAGUAGCUGGUUGGCGGGGUAAAGGCUCACCAAGGCGACGAUCAGUAGCGGGUCUGAGAGGAUGAACAGCCACACUGGGACUGAGACACGGCCCAGACGCCUACGGGAGGCAGCAGUGGGGAAUUUUGGACAAUGGGCGCAAGCCUGAUCCAGCCAUGCCGCGUGUCUGAAGAAGGCCUUCGGGUUGUAAAGGACUUUUGGCAGGGAAGCGGUACCUGAAGAAUAAGCACCGGCUAACUACGUGCCAGCAGCCGCGGUAAUUC